UACGUAGGGGGCGAGCGUUGUCCGGAUUUAUUGGGCGUAAAGAGCUCGUAGGCGGUUCGAUAAGUCGGACGUGAAAUCUCCACGCUCAACGUGGAGGGGCCGUUCGAUACUGUCGUGACUCGAGUCCGGUAGGGGAGUGUGGAAUUCCCGGUGUAGCGGUGAAAUGCGCAGAGAUCGGGAGGAACACCCGUAGCGAAGGCGGCACUCUGGGCCGGUACUGACGCUGAGGAGCGAAAGCUAGGGGAGCAAACAGGG
rnacentral:rRNA from 1 species